rfam:Felis catus isolate Cinnamon breed Abyssinian chromosome C2, whole genome shotgun sequence.
GCCUGGGUGGCUCAGUCGGUUGAGCGUCUGACUUCAGCUCAGGUCAUGAUCGCACAGCUCGUGAGUUCAAGCCCCGCAUCUGGCU